rnacentral:lncRNA from 1 species
GUCGGUUUGGCCUUGUGAGUUUCGUCCCUUUAGUACAUUUUUUCAAGUUACAUUUGAAUACUUUUAUAGAUUAGACAUGUAUUGAUAGCUCAUUCAUUUAUAUUUUUAGUAUAACCAAAACAUGUGUUUUUACAUAAUAUAUGGUUGAAUAGUGGAUUGUUGCAGUACUUGUGGAUGAUUUAACAAGAGUUUAUGUGAAACAAAAUGAAUGAAUUAUAUGUUUGUACAUAAAAUAGGCCGUUAGUUUUUCUCGUUUGAAUUGUAUUACAUUUGUUAUUUCGGGGCCUUUUAUAGCUGACUAUGCGGUAUGGGCUGUGAUUCUUGUUGAAGGCCAUACAGUGACCUAUAAUCGUUAAUUUCUUUGUCAUUUGGUUUCUUGUGGAGAGUUGUCUAAUUGGCAAUCAUAUCACAACGUCUUUUUUUUUAAUAUUUGAUCCUCAUUAUAUAAGGAUCAUCCAUUCAAUGAGGCCUGAUAGUUCUUAUAUAGAGAAGAUUUUCAAAGUUUUUUUUUCCAUUGGAGCCUAUGUUAAACUUUUGACCCCUAAUACUCGAGCAUACAGGAUCCCCUGACCUUUGUCUAUCACCUAAGGAAGUUGUCUAGUACCCGAAGUAUAGUAUGCGAGUCCUUGCUAUCGCUUGUUGUCGUUGUCGUCUGUCGUAAGUGUUUUUUUUAAAUCUUCUUUGAAACUACUGUGCAAAAUUCUUUGAAAGUUAGUUGAUUUUUCCAUAUUGAUGUUUCCUUUACAAAAGGCGUGCGUCGAUUUAUGACACAUUAAAAGCACAGCCGCUUAUACUAACUUGAAAACUAUGAUAUAAUGGGCGCACAUUCGUUUUUUUUUUUAUAUAAUAUCUCGAUUGAAACCGUUACAUUUAUCCCAUAUCUGUCGAAGGUUCAUCAUGACAAAAUGGACUUAUGCCGAAAAUUUCAGAUUGAUCUGUUUGACCCAUAUCUGAGUUGUGUCCUCUAAAACAUUUUUGUCUCGCUUGACAGAGACAAAAAGCGAGUCAUAGAUAUGCAGUUUCCGGCGUCGGCGGCGUCGUUAGCAAUGUAUUAGUUUGUGAUUAGGUCUAGUUUAUGGUGAACCACUAGUGGUAAGUCUAAGAUAUUUGGUAUGCAGUUGUAUAAGUAUUGGCACAUCACAUUACUAUGGAGAUUAUUUGGCCCCACCCCCUCAGCCAUUGUCGAUUGGAAGUUUUGCUUAGUUUUCAUGUACUGGUUUAUGAUUAAGUCAGUUUAUGGGGAACUUCUAGUGACCAGUAAAUGAUAUUUGGUAUGUAG